rnacentral:tRNA from 2 species
GGACAUGUUAGCUCAGUUGGUUAGAGCAUCGGUUUGUGGUACCGAGGGUCAUGGGUUCGAGCCCCAUACGUGUCCC